UACAGAGGUCUCAAGCGUUGUUCGGAUUCAUUGGGCGUAAAGGGUGCGUAGGCGGCGCGGUAAGUCGGGUGUGAAAUCUUGGAGCUUAACUUCGAAACUGCAUUCGAUACUGCCGUGCUUGAGGACUGGAGAGGAGACUGGAAUUUACGGUGUAGCGGUGAAAUGCGUAGAUAUCGUAAGGAAGACCAGUGGCGAAGGCGGGUCUCUGGACAGUUCCUGACGCUGAGGCACGAAGGCCAGGGGGGCAAACGGG
rnacentral:rRNA from 1 species